rnacentral:vault_RNA from 1 species
GGGCUAGCUUUAGCUCAGCGGUUCCUUCGAACAUUCAAAGUUAAUCACAUGGUCUGGUGGCUUCCACUAGUCCAGUGGUUCGAGACCGCGGGCGCUCUCUACCCCUUUU